rnacentral:rRNA from 1 species
GCAGUCGAACGGUGAAGGAGAGCUUGCUCUCUGGAUCAGUGGCGAACGGGUGAGUAACACGUGAGCAACCUACCCUUGACCCUGGGAUAACAGUUGGAAACAGCUGCUAAUACCGGAUACGACCUCAGCAGGCAUCUGCCGAGGUGGAAAGCUCCGACGGUCAAGGAUGGGCUCGCGGCCUAUCAGCUUGUUGGUGAGGUAAUGGCUCACCAAGGCGUCGACGGGUAGCCGGCCUGAGAGGGCGACCGGCCACACUGGGACUGAGAUACGGCCCAGACUCCUACGGGAGGCAGCAGUGGGGAAUAUUGCGCAAUGGGCGAAAGCCUGACGCAGCAACGCCGCGUGCGGGAUGACGGCCUUCGGGUUGUAAACCGCUUUCAGCAGGGACGAAGGGUCACCUUGACGGUACCUGCAGAAGAAGCACCGGCUAACUACGUGCCAGCAGCCGCGGUGAUACGUAGGGUGCGAGCGUUGUCCGGAAUUAUUGGGCGUAAAGAGCUUGUAGGCGGUCUGUUGCGUCGGAAGUGAAAACUCAGGGCUUAACCCUGAGCCUGCUUUCGAUACGGGCAGACUUGAGGGAUGUAGGGGAGAACGGAAUUCCUGGUGGAGCGGUGGAAUGCGCAGAUAUCAGGAGGAACACCAGUGGCGAAGGCGGUUCUCUGGACAUUUCCUGACGCUGAGAAGCGAAAGCGUGGGGAGCAAACAGGCUUAGAUACCCUGGUAGUCCACGCCGUAAACGGUGGGCACU